CUUUAGCGAUGUGUAUCUUGUCGAAGUGUAAGACCGCCUCUCGGGGACCCCCACUCUAGUCUCAGAAGAGAGAGAGCACCCAAAGAAAAACGAGAAUCC
rnacentral:pre_miRNA from 7 species